rnacentral:rRNA from 1 species
AGGGUUUGAUCCUGGCUCAGAACGAACGCUGGCGGCACGCCUAACACAUGCAAGUCGAGCGCACCUUCGGGUGAGCGGCGGACGGGUUAGUAACGCGUGGGAACAUACCCUUCUCUAAGGAAUAGCCACUGGAAACGGUGAGUAAUACCUUAUACGCCCUUCGGGGGAAAGAUUUAUCGGAGAUGGAUUGGCCCGCGUUAGAUUAGAUAGUUGGUGGGGUAACGGCCUACCAAGUCUACGAUCUAUAGCUGGUUUUAGAGGAUGAUCAGCAACACUGGGACUGAGACGCGGCCCAGACUCCUACGGGAGGCAGCAGUGGGGAAUCUUAGACAAUGGGCGAAAGCCUGAUCUAGCGAUGCCGCGUGAGUGAUGAAGGCCUUAGGGUCGUAAAGCUCUUUCGCCAGGGAUGAUAAUGACAGUACCUGGUAAAGAAACCCCGGCUAACUUCGUGCCAGCAGCCGCGGUAAUACGGAGGGGGUUAGCGUUGUUCGGAAUUACUGGGCGUAAAGCGCACGUAGGCGGACUAUUAAGUGAGGGGUGAAAUCCCAGGGCUCAACCCUGGAACUGCCUCUCAUACUGGUAGUCUUGAGUUCGAGAGAGGUGAGUGGAAUUCCGAGUGUAGAGGUGAAAUUCGUAGAUAUUCGGAGGAACACCAGUGGCGAAGGCGGCUGACUGGCUCGAUACUGACGCUGAGGUGCGAAAGUGUGGGGAGCAAACAGGAUUAGAUACCCUGGUAGUCCACACCGUAAACGAUGAAUGCCAGUCGUCAGCAAGUAUACUUGUUGGUGACACACCUAACGGAUUAAGCAUUCCGCCUGGGGAGUACGGUCGCAAGAUUAAAACUCAAAGGAAUUGACGGGGGCCCGCACAAGCGGUGGAGCAUGUG